rnacentral:rRNA from 1 species
GUCAUCGGCGGAGUCGGAGCGUACUCUCAGCGUAGUAAUACCAUUCUCGCUUUUGUAGUAGCCCCGGCGGCUUGCCGUAAAACCCCUAUAUCUUUAGUGGUUGACCUCGAAUCAGGUAGGAAUACCCGCUGAACUUAAGCAUAUCAAUAAGCGGAGGAAAAGAAACCAACAGGGAUUGCCCUAGUAACGGCGAGUGAAGCGGCAACAGCUCAAAUUUGAAAUCUGGCCCUAGCGGUCCGAGUUGUAAUUUGUAGAGGAUGCUUUUGGUGAGGUGCCUUCCGAGUUCCCUGGAACGGGACGCCGGAGAGGGUGAGAGCCCCGUACGGUUGGACGCCAAACCUCUGUAUAGCUCCUUCGACGAGUCGAGUAGUUUGGGAAUGCUGCUCUAAAUGGGAGGUAAAUUUCUUCUAAAGCUAAAUACCGGCCAGAGACCGAUAGCGCACAAGUAGAGUGAUCGAAAGAUGAAAAGCACUUUGAAAAGAGGGUUAAAUAGCACGUGAAAUUGUUGAAAGGGAAGCGUUUGCGACCAGACUUUUUCCAGGCGGAUCAUCCGGCGUUCUCGCCGGUGCACUCCGCCUGGUUGAGGCCAGCAUCGGUUUCCUUAGGGGGAUAAAGGCCUGGGGAACGUAGCUCCUUCGGGAGUGUUAUAGCCCCUGGCGUAAUACCCCUCGGG